CUCACACUCAUCUGAGCGCUAUCCCUGCUGCAAUCAUUCAAGUUUCAGCUAAUGUUUAUCGCCAUUUCGCUUCCUUUCUGAAGCUUAAGCUGUGUAAAUUAUAUGUCUUUGCGUGGUUGAGUUCCUAAAGAAGAUGGUGAGGAGCACUUUGUCUCAUCAUGUAAUCUCAACAGCGGCUAUCACAGAAAGAUCAACACACUGAGAUUUUGUUUGCUCAGGCUCACAGCACGGCCCAAUCAACAACAAGCGCACACAAACACAUGAGCUAAACAAGCUGGAGCUUGCUGCAGGGGGAAUGUUUGUGAAAGACGGGAGCAUUACAGGUUUAUCUAAGGUGUGGUCCACCUUAAGCAUUGGUAAUCAUCCAGGAUACGACUGCUUGGGACUGCCAGGCCUGCACUGCUUUCAUUUAACCCAUGAGUGGCAUAUUGGCACACAUCAAAACACUGCGGUUAGCAGGAUUUUUCUUUGCCACAUGCAAUCAGGAUAAAGGCACCCCUUAAAGAAAAUAGGAAAGAGAUCCAUACAGGUUUGGAAUGGCAUGAGGAACAGGAGGAAGCGAAUGCCCUCCCCUGUCGGUCGAGGAAUAACAUGUUUACGUCACGCCUGCCCUUCACAACUUUGUCUCUUUAGGAGGGGCCACACUCAGGGGAGGAACCAACUGGAGAGGGACUCGAGAUUAAAGAGACAGUGUCUCAGAGUUACAGGAGACAAACUCUAAGGACAAAUAUGAAACUUAAAGACACAAAAGGAAUUUCAAUGUGGUACUGUAUGAGAAACAGCCUAGUUUUGGCUGGCUCUUUUUUUUUUUUUUAGCUGCUUAAAGUGAUUUUUUUCAUUUUUGGGUGAACUAUCCCUUUAAUCAUAGUGAAAUGUCAUAGUGAAAGGUUCUUAAAAGAACCAUUUUAAAGAACCUUUUCCCACUACAAAGAACCUUUUGUGCAAUGGGAAGGUUCCAUGGAUGCCAAAAGAUCUUCACAGAAUGAAACAUGCUAGAGAACCUUUCUUUUUAAGAGUGUACUGUAUAUACAUUCAGAUUUAUACCUAUAUAUGCAGAAUGUAUAACUAUCUAUUCAGAAUUACAACUAUAUAUUCAGGAUUUAUAACCAUUUAUUCAGAUUUACAACUAUUUAUACUCAGUAUUUAUAACUAUAUAUUC